rnacentral:rRNA from 1 species
AAAGCCCAGCGCACAACCUCCCGGGCUACCAAGCCCGCGGCGGAAUUUUGCGUUAAAGGAAAGGUCGUUUUAAAACCCCGCACACACAGUAAUCUAAGUCUGGAUUGAAUCUUCCACUGCUUUUUAACCGAAGCACCGGCUUCACAGAGGGUGUCAAACCCGUGUGGCUACGUGGUGAUUUGUGCGUGGGUUCGGCCUUUUCCUUGAGAGUCGCGUUGCUUGAGCAUGCAGCGCUAAUCAGGUCGUAAACUCGACCUAAGGCUAAAUAUAUUCACAGAACCGAUAGUAAACAAGUACCGUGAGGGAAAGUUGAAAAGCACUCUGAAGAGAGAGUCAAAAGACCGUGAAACCGAUUAGAGUAUAAGCCAAUGGUAAUGUGAAAGGCUGGGGCAGGCUUUGAAUCUUGUGAUUCUAUCAGGCUAUCGUGUGUGAUAAAAAGACGUCGGGACGCUCGAGGGUAGUGGCAUUGGGUUGAUAACACUCCGGCGACAAACCGGAGUGCGGGCUUUUUACAGCAGUGUCAGUCUCGCACAUCGCGUGCAUACUCUGCACGUGUGUCUUUGUGAGGGUUGCUGGGCUUUAGCAGGCGUCCUAAGCUAAGAGUCACACUUUAACGAGUUGUCUAUACACGGCCCACCCCAACUCUUUACAAGGUCACCCGCACACAGGGGGGCGGAAACGCGCUGGGCGCUUCUCGCGUGCGCAACAGUUGCGUCUCGCAGCCGUGUUUCUCUUGGUCGGACAGCAUUCCCCCACACUCGUGUGYGUSUGGUAUGAUCCUCUGUGAAGGWUGCUUUCUGWCUAUCCGAACACCAACAUUCCGGACCUCGAACUCCUYAGUGGCGUUUAUCUUAGGAACAUUCGCGGCGUGCGGGUCGUGGGUACGCCGAUGGUGAGAGGAUAAAGGGUGAUUUAUUUCACAGCCAUUGGUCACGUCUCGAAACACGGGCCAAGGAGCAUAGCAUGUGCGCGAGUSUAAGGGUCACAGUAAACCMGGAGGCGAAGUGAAAGCAAAUGGUGUGUUAGAGUGUCUCUCUCGGGAGGUGCUCUGACAGCGAGAGUGACUGUCCGUAAUUCCUACCUGGAUGAAUACGGUUGUCACCCUGCUAAGUUACCGAGUUGAUCCUUCGCAAUAAAGCCUAUAUGGCGAUGCGUCGGCGCAAACUCCAGGCUCUAUAACGGAGGCGUCGCUUUCUUAGAGCACUGUGUAGCGUKCAUGCUAUGACCCGAAAGAUAGUGAACUAUGCCUGGCGA